GCACCCGCCCCGAACGUGGUGGUACCUGUGUGAAUUGAAGCGGUAUAUGCAUGGCUUACUGGAACACAGUGAGGAACUGGUUUUGAACCCGUGGUUGUAUUCAUCAAAGCUUGUGGUGGUGCACGACGAACGCCAGGAAGUAGGUCGUUCAUCUGUGUUGUGUUAUAAUUGAAACCUUACUUCAUGUCUGUCGCUCGUGUGUUUGCACGUCUCAGCAAAGAUCCAGAUACAAAGGUUGGAGCUUGCAUUGUAAACGAGCAAAACCAGAUUGUGGGUGUAGGCUACAACACGAUACAAGAAAGUGGGGAAG